rnacentral:ncRNA from 1 species
UACCUGGUUGAUCCUGCCAGUAGUCAUAUGCUUGUCUCAAAGAUUAAGCCAUGCAAGUCUAAGUACGAGCUCUCGUACAGUGAAACUGCGAAUGGCUCAUUAAAUCAGUUAUGGUUCAUUUGAUCGUACAGUUUACUUGGAUAACUGUGGUAAUUCUAGAGCUAAUACAUGCGAGAAGCGCCGACCUCGCGGGAGGCGUGCAUUUAUCAGACCAAAAACCGGCCGCGUCUUCGGGCGCGUUCGCCUUGGUGACUCUGGAUAACUUUGCGGAUCGCACGGUCUAGCACCGGCGACGGAUCAUUCAAGGAUCUGCCCUAUCAACUUUCGUCGGGACGGGAUUUGCCUACCGAGGGUCUUACGGGGGCCGGGACAUGAGGGGGGGGGGGGGGGGUGGGGGGGGGGGGGGGGGGGGCGGGAAGGGUGCGGGCGGGGGUGGGGGGGGGGGGGGAGGGGGGGGGG